GGCACACGAUGUUAGAGGGCCAGCCCAGG
rnacentral:piRNA from 1 species